rnacentral:tRNA from 1 species
GGCCGAGUGGUUGAGGCAGAAGUCUGCAAAACUUUGUACAGCGGUUCAAAUCCGCUCCGGA